CACGGGGGUUGCGAGCGUUGUCCGGAAUUACUAGGCGUAAAGGGCAGGCAGGCGGAUCCAUAAGUUUAUCGUUUAAGGCGUCGGCUCAACCGGUGCCUUGCGGCGGAUACUGCAUAGCUGGAGUACUGGAGAGGGAAGUGGAAUUCCCGGUGUAGCGGUGAAAUGCGUAGAUAUCAGGAGGAACACCGAUGGCGAAGGCAGGUCUCUGGGCCACUACUGACGCUGAGAAGCGAAAGCAUGGGGAGCGAACAGGAUUAGAUACCCCCGUAGU
rnacentral:rRNA from 1 species